ACUAGUACAAAACAAGAAGUACGAGAUUUUUACUCCAAAAAUCAAAGCGUAUUGUCGAAGUAGAACUUUUUUCAUAAACAUGAAAUUAUGGAUAAACGGGGGUAGGUGCAAUACGCUUCUUUGAUACUUUUGAAGAUUCAACUUUUCUGGGAAUUAGUGUUGUAGUAGCUGGUCCCCCAGCCGUAUUGUCUUGUGAAUCAUCAAUACUAGAGGGUGAAGCUGAUCGUUUCUCCGGCAAAGAAAUUUUGUGUUGACUUUUGACACCCAAUUCUCCAGGUUCAAAGGUAAUUACAGAACAAAAACCAUCUAUAGAAGUCAUUAACAAAACAUUUCCAUCAUCAUUCCAA